rnacentral:lncRNA from 1 species
ACCCGACAUCUGGAUAGGUCGAAUAGUCAAAAUCACAAUACUCAAAACCUACAUGAAUAUGGUUACUGUAUAAUUCAUCCCUUUUGACCCCUGUGUUUAGGAUGACUCAGGGUUAAACUGUCAACCCUGAUUAGAUCAUCCGAGUCGUGCUCAACUCAAUCAGUCCUUGUGACUCCUCACUAGGACUACCCUGGUCAAGGUUUUGCUAAAUUGAAACAUGACUAUACACAGCUCCUAAACUGGAGUGGUCAAUCCCAUCUUGACACACGCACCGACAAGUCAAGUACUUGACUACAUCCAGCAGCCUUCCAUCACUGAAUUAGAAAUUCAGCUUGUCCAGUGCCUAAGUGCAAUGAGUUGCUUGCAAGUCACCGUGGCGG